rnacentral:lncRNA from 1 species
GGGUGGCAAAGCAGCAAAACACUGGUCCCAGUGAACUCCUUCAUGUCCACACUGCCAGAUUCUGAGCUCUGCAUUUUCAACUACUUCGGAGAAGUGGGUCUCCGCAGAGGCAAAGUGACGCAGAAGUAGAAAUUCUGAAGCAAUUCCGGCGGAGAGUCCUGAGAAGUUUCUUCCUUCACCCUGCUUCCCUCGGGUCUAGUGAGCCAGCAGGUGGCCCCUGAGGAUGAGGCUAUGCGGUCACCCUGCUAUCAGCGGACUCCUACCUCGGUCCAGAUCAGCCAAACAGAAGAUAAAUGGUGACACCGACUUCCAGCCACCACAGACACAGUGCUGGUGAUGACAAGAGGAAAAUGCUCGCCUCAUUCUCCUUCCAGACAGCCAUGGCCUGUGUACUCCCGGUGACCGGUGCUGCGGAGACUCUGCAGACCAGAAUCUGUGCGACUAAGUGAACAGUACACUCGCGUAGGAGUGGGUUAACUCAGGCCCCGAAGUUGGACACAAAAAAGAUGUACUUGUGCCUCUGCAGCACGUCCAUUGCUAGUCCAGGG